CCUUUGACGUUAGGGGCGGACGGGUGAGUAACACGUGGGUAACCUACCUAUAAGACUGGGAUAACUUCGGGAAACCGGAGCUAAUACCGGAUAAUAUUUCGAACCGCAUGGUUCGAUAGUGAAAGAUGGCUUUGCUAUCACUUAUAGAUGGACCUGCGCCGUAUUAGCUAGUUGGUAAGGUAACGGCUUACCAAGGCAACGAUACGUAGCCGACCUGAGAGGGUGAUCGGCCACACUGGAACUGAGACACGGUCCAGACUCCUACGGGAGGCAGCAGUAGGGAAUCUUCCGCAAUGGGCGAAAGCCUGACGGAGCAACGCCGCGUGAGUGAUGAAGGUCUUCGGAUCGUAAAACUCUGUUAUUAGGGAAGAACAAACGUGUAAGUAACUGUGCACGUCUUGACGGUACCUAAUCAGAAAGCCACGGCUAACUACGUGCCAGCAGCCGCGGUAAUACGUAGGUGGCAAGCGUUAUCCGGAAUUAUUGGGCGUAAAGCGCGCGUAGGCGGUUUUUUAAGUCUGAUGUGAAAGCCCACGGCUCAACCGUGGAGGGUCAUUGGAAACUGGAAAACUUGAGUGCAGAAGAGGAAAGUGGAAUUCCAUGUGUAGCGGUGAAAUGCGCAGAGAUAUGGAGGAACACCAGUGGCGAAGGCGACUUUCUGGUCUGUAACUGACGCUGAUGUGCGAAAGCGUGGGGAUCAAACAGGAUUAGAUACCCUGGUAGUCCACGCCGUAAACGAUGAGUGCUAAGUGUUAGGGGGUUUCCGCCCCUUAGUGCUGCAGCUAACGCAUUAAGCACUCCGCCUGGGGAGUACGACCGCAAGGUUGAAACUCAAAGGAAUUGACGGGGACCCGCACAAGCGGUGGAGCAUGUGGUUUAAUUCGAAGCAACGCGAAGAACCUUACCAAAUCUUGACAUCCUUUGACCCUUCUAGAGAUAGAAGUUUCCCCUUCGGGGGACAAAGUGACAGGUGGUGCAUGGUUGUCGUCAGCUCGUGUCGUGAGAUGUUGGGUUAAGUCCCGCAACGAGCGCAACCCUUAAGCUUAGUUGCCAUCAUUAAGUUGGGCACUCUAAGUUGACUGCCGGUGACAAACCGGAGGAAGGUGGGGAUGACGUCAAAUCAUCAUGCCCCUUAUGAUUUGGGCUACACACGUGCUACAAUGGACAAUACAAAGGGCAGCGAAACCGCGAGGUCAAGCAAAUCCCAUAAAGUUGUUCUCAGUUCGGAUUGUAGUCUGCAACUCGACUACAUGAAGCUGGAAUCGCUAGUAAUCGUAGAUCAGCAUGCUACGGUGAAUACGUUCCCGGGUCUUGUACACGCCGCCCGUC
rnacentral:rRNA from 1 species